rnacentral:rRNA from 1 species
AUGGCUCAGAACGAACGCUGGCGGCAGGUCUUAGGCAUGCAAGUCGAACGGAUGACAGAGAGCUUGCUCUCUGAAGUCAGUGGCGCACGAGUGAGUAACGCGUGGGAAACUGCCCUUCACUGGGGAAUAACGUUUGGAAACGAACGCUAAUACCGCAUACGCCCGCAAGGGGAAAGAUUUAUCGGUGAUGGAUGUGCCCGCGUUGGAUUAGCUAGUUGGUGGGGUAAUGGCCUACCAAGGCGAUGAUCCAUAGCUGGUCUGAGAGGACGAUCAGCCACGCUGGAACUGAGACACGGUCCAGACUCCUACGGGAGGCAGCAGCUAAGAAUAUUGGGCAAUGGAGGAAACUCUGACCCAGCCCAUGCCGCGUGAAUGAAGGAGGCCUUCGGGUUGUAAAGUUCUUUUAGUCAUGAAGAUGAUGACAGUAGUGACAGAAAAAGCACCGGCUAACUUCGUGCCAGCCGCCGC